CGGGAAAUCCAGUUGAAGAGACAUUACUACACAAAGAGAGCCCUUAAGACACAUUCCUACCCAGCUGGAUUAGUGCCGUUCAUCAUUGUUACAGCUACAGAGCCUCUGCAUGGCCCUGUAGACUGUGUCAUGGUGGUUCUACAACUUCCAACAUCCUGGUGCCCAUCGUUCUCACCCAAGCCUUUGAAGCUAACUCCUCAGCCUUUGAAGCUUACUCCCCCGCAGUCCGGUGAUCUUAAGAUGAGGCUUCCCUUAUCCCCGUGCCUGCAUGCUCACACUGCUCACGACUGUCUCUUCAGCAGAGGGGUCCUACCCAGUUGCUGCUACUGAGAGAAAGUGGGGAGGAGGAGAGGACCGAGGGCGCUUUAACAAGAAGAGCACCUGCAAGCAGGAAGGGUGCACCAGUGUAAUGGUUAAUCUCGCUCGUCAAACCAUAAGAUUGCUGGACCCACUUGGGGGUUUCUAAUCCACCUUGAAUCAUUUAGUUCUCUAAUAAAAGACACAAACCUUUAUAUUUAUAAUAAGCCUUAAAGGCACUGGAGCUGGGCAGGUAUCAACCCUCUAACCUACUUUGUCUACUUCCCUGUCAAUAACCCCAAGAUAUCACUUGCCAGGUUCUGUCUGGGCCGCUCCUACUCCAAAAGGCCAGUCCUUGUGGCCAUGAGCUUGUGAUCCACCAACCCCAUGGCACCUUCUUCCUUCUCUCUUCCCCUUGUGGCCUCUGUCUCCAUGCCUGGAAAGGAAGCCCCACCUACCUCUCUUCUGCCCAGACCACACUAUAGGCAUCUUUAUUAAUCAAUCAGAGAUAAUACGGGGAGCAAGGUUUUAUACAACAAAAGCAGGGAUAUAUG
rnacentral:lncRNA from 1 species